rnacentral:rRNA from 1 species
AUUGAACGCUGGCGGCAGGCCUAACACAUGCAAGUCGAGCGACCGGCGGACGGGUGAGUAAUGUAUGGGGACUGCCCGAUAGAGGGGGAUAACUACUGGAAACGGUAGCUACUCCCGCUUACUAUCGGAUAACCCAUAUGGGAUUAGCUAGUAGGUGAGGUAACGGCUCACCUAGGGGACGAUCCCUAGCUGGACUGAGAGGUUGAUCAGCCACACUGGGACUGAGACACGGCCCAGACUCCUACGGAGGCAGCAGUGGGGAAUAUUGGACAAUGGGCGCAAGCCUGAUGCAGCCAUGCCGCGUAUAUGAAGAAGGCCCUAGGGUUGUAAAGUACUUUCAGUCGGGAGGCGUUCCCGACAGAAGAAGCACCGGCUAACUCCGUGCCAGCAGCCGCGGUAAUAC